UAAGUUUUUAUUUUAAUAUGGCAGAUUA
rnacentral:tRNA from 1 species